AUUCCUACGGGAGGCAGCAGUAGGGAAUUUUCGGCAAUGGGGGAAACCCUGACCGAGCAACGCCGCGUGAGUGAAGAAGGCCUUCGGGUUGUAAAGCUCUGUUGUAAGGGAAGAAGAGAUCAUAGAGGGAAUGCUAUGAUUGUGACGGAACCUUACCAGAAAGCCACGGCUAACUACGUGCCAGCAGCCGCGGUAAUACGUAGGUGGCGAGCGUUAUCCGGAAUUAUUGGGCGUAAAGGGUGCGUAGGCGGCACAUUAAGUCUAAGGUUAAAGUUCGAGGCUCAACUUCGGAUUGCCUUAGAAACUGGUGAGCUAGAGUGCAGGAGAGGGCAAUGGAAUUCCAUGUGUAGCGGUAAAAUGCGUAGAUAUAUGGAGGAACACCAGUGGCGAAGGCGGUUGCCUGGCCUGUAACUGACGCUGAGGCACGAAAGCGUGGGGAGCAAAUAGGAUUAGAUACACUAGUAGUCCACGCUGUAAACGAUGAUUACUAAGUGUUGGAGAAAUUCAGUGCUGCAGUUAACGCAAUAAGUAAUCCGCCUGGGGAGUAUGCACGCAAGUGUGAAACUCAAAGGAAUUGACGGAAU
rnacentral:rRNA from 1 species